GUCGGGGCGUCCUAGAAGGUCUCACGGCAGAGCGGGCGCAAGCGCUCGGCGGCCAUUUUAUCGCCGUGCGCCCUGCGAGCGGGAACGGAGUGGGCGGGGCUCUCAAAGGCGCGACGUUUCCAGGGAGACAGCCUAGCUGAGGCGACGACCGGAGCGCGUUAAGGGGUGUUCGUCGCGGGGAAGCGGGCGCCUCUCGUCAAAGGGGCCUCCGGCUCUACCGUUGCCGUCCGGGGGGGUUGUGUCCCAGUUCCGCCCCAUCCCCCUUCACCUGAUGGCCGUCCCACCAGCGGUAGCGAGUCUCUCCUCUGCCCGGAGCACUGGAGGUCGCUCUUGGUUGGCCAAUGGCCGCCCAGAGGAAAGGGCCGAGGAGCCCCGCUCUCGCCGCGGGGGACGGGGGAGCCGGCGCUGGGCGGCAGAGGGGCCGCGCCGUGCGAGGAGAGCCGCGGAGGACGGUGUUGGUCAGGUACCGGACCGGCCGGCAGCGUCCUUAGACCCGGUUAGGCUUCCGCGUAGCCGCGCUCGCUGCCCCUUUCCUAUGGGGCUCUUCCUUCGCCCUCAACAGCUGCCAGCUGGCUCGGCCCUGCCCAGUGGGCGCUGGUGACUGCAGCUGUCAUGGACCAGUAGCCCGAGGAAGAUUCUGCCUUCUCUAGUUGUUUCCUGAAGAUUUCCUUCAGCUGGAAAGUUCAAGGAGAGAAAUCAUAUUAGUAGGUGGGCUUUGAGGAAUUUUCCAACAUGUGAGUGAUGACUUCACUCUUGAACAUACUCUGCAUCUGUAACAACACUAUAGCUCUUCAUUACCAAUUCCCACUACUUGAUAAAGCCUGGUAUUCAAAAGACUUGUUAUAGCCUC